AUGGUGCAAAUGUUGAGUUCAACCAAAUUCAUGGACACGGUUCCAUUUCCUUUCCUUGUUCUUGUUUUGGCACUUCUUUUUCCAUUCAAAUCAUCUGCAGCUUUUAAUUUGAGCAUGGGAUCCUCUCUUUCAGUAGAAAAUCCAGCUCAAACUUUGAUGUCGCCGGACGCCGUAUUUACCGCUGGCUUUUUCCGGUCGGCGAAAACGCGUUUUGCUUUGGAAUAUGGUUCUCGGAGCCAACAACCAUUACAGACAACCUUACCGUGGUGUGGAUAGCUAAUCGUGACGAGCCGGUAAAUGGUCAACGCUCCAAGCUCACCCUGCACAAAAAUGGAAACCUUAUUCUCUCCGACAUCGACCGAUACACCGUGUGGUCCUCCGACACAGCUUCAAACUCAUCGGCCCACUUGCACCUCAGAAACACCGGCAAUCUAGUUCUUCUCGAAGAGCACGGCGUCGUGUUGUGGGAAAGCUUUGCUUCGCCGACGGACACGCUUUUGCCUCAGCAACCGCUCACAAGAAGCACACAGCUCAUUUCUUCAAGAAGCCUCACCAACUAUUCCUCCGGCUUCUACUCGUUUUACUUCGACAACGACAACACUCUUCGUAUACUCUACAAUGGCCCCGAGGUUUCGAGCAUUUACUGGCCCGAUCCAUGGCUUCUGAGUUAUCAAGCAGGAAGAUCCACAUACAACAACACUCGAAUUGCAGUUUUUGACAGCUUGGGAAAUUUUAGCUCAUCUGAUAAUUUUGUCGUUUUGACAAUCGACUACGGUGCGAAACUGCACAGAAUAUUCAGGAUGGAUGUAGAUGGAAAUCUCCGAGGCUACAGUCGAAAAGGUCAGGGAGAUAAAUGGAUUGUUACAUGGGAAGCAGUUUUACAACCAUGUAAAAUCCAUGGCAUUUGCGGAGCUAAUAGCUACUGCAGCUAUAUUCCUAGUACAGGUAGGAAAUGUUCGUGUCUGCCGGGUUAUGAAAUGGUCAGCAAAACCGAUUGGUCUUAUGGGUGUAAACCGGCUGGUUUCAAGCUGUCCUGCAAGAGUAGUGCAGAGGAAGAGUUCGGUUUUGUGCAUCUUUCACGUAUUGAAAUGUAUGGGUAUGAUUAUGCCGUCUAUGGCAAUUACACAUUAGAUGAGUGCAAAAGUGUGUGCCUGGACUUGUGCAACUGUACUGGAUUCCACCACAAAUUUGGUGGCGGUCAGUAUCAGUGUUAUCCCAAGUAUCAAAUGCGAAAUGGCUACCGCUCGCCUGCUUUCGAUGGGGAGCUGUAUGUGAAGCUACCAAAAGGCCUCCUCAAUGCUACUUAUAAGGAUUCCAAAAUGUGCUCAGCUAAACUUACAGCACAACUUGACAGAACAUAUGAAAGAAGCAAUCCCAGUGGAUCGAUCCAGUUUAUGCUUAAAUUCGCAUCGGCCGUGGGAGGACUAGAGGUCAUUUGCAUCUUUGUUGUGUGGUUUUUUGUAACGAGAAGAAGCAGCGGGGAUAAAAAAGAUUCAGAAUUAGAAGCACUUGCUCAAGGCUACCUUCAAACUGCCAGUGGAUUUAGAAGGUUUACAUACUCCGAAUUGAAGAAGGCCACAAAAGGAUUCAAGGAAGAGAUUGGAAAAGGAGGAGGAGGAGUUGUGUACAAAGGCGUGUUGUCCGAUCAGCGAGUUGCAGCGAUUAAGCAACUGAAUGAUUGUAAUCAAGGAGAAGCUGAGUUCCUUGCAGAAGUAAGCCUUCUUGGUAAGCUUUACCAUAUGAACUUGAUAGAGAUGUGGGGUUAUUGCGUGGAAGACAAGCAUAGGCUUCUCGUGUAUGAGUACAUGGAGCAUGGUUCCUUGGCAAAAGUUUUAUCUUCCAAAGCGCUUGAUUGGAAGAAGAGGUAUGAUAUUGCUCUUGGCACAGCAAAAGGACUGGCUUAUCUUCAUGAAGAGUGCUUGGAAUGGGUUCUACAUUGUGAUGUGAAGCCUCAGAACAUACUCUUGGACUCCUAUUACAAUCCCAAGGUAGCAGAUUUUGGGUUGUCCAAGCUAUUAAACAGAAGCGAGAACACCAGCUCAGACUUCUCGAGGAUUAGAGGAACCAGAGGUUACAUGGCUCCAGAGUGGGUGCACAAUAUGCCCAUCACUUCGAAGGUGGAUGUCUACAGUUAUGGAAUUGUUGUGCUAGAAAUGCUCACCGGGAAGAACCCAACUGAAAGCAAUCUUCAAUCGGUUGAAGGUGGAGGAGAGACACACAAGAAGAUGAUGGCACAAUGGGUGAUGGAAAAAAUGAAUGGAGCAUUAGCAAAUGCAGAGACCAAAAUGGGAGGUGAAAAUGAAAAGGGUAAGCUGGAAAUUCUUAUUAAAGUGGCGCUCCAGUGUAUAGAGGAAGACAGAAAUGCAAGACCCUCUAUGAGUCGAGUAGUUGAGAUGCUUCUACAUCAUCAAUUUCAGGGAUGACUGCUUCA